AAGCGGAGGAAAAGAAACCAACAGGGAUUGCCCCAGUAACGGCGAGUGAAGCGGCAACAGCUCAAAUUUGAAAUCUGGCCCCUCCCACGGGGGGGGCCCGAGUUGUAAUUUGCAGAGGAUGCUUCUGGCGAGGUGCCUUCCGAGUUCCCUGGAACGGGACGCCACAGAGGGUGAGAGCCCCGUCUGGUCGGACACCGAGCCUCUGUGAAGCUCCUUCGACGAGUCGAGUAGUUUGGGAAUGCUGCUCUAAAUGGGAGGUAUAUGUCUUCUAAAGCUAAAUACCGGCCAGAGACCGAUAGCGCACAAGUAGAGUGAUCGAAAGAUGAAAAGCACUUUGAAAAGAGGGUUAAACAGUACGUGAAAUUGUUGAAAGGGAAGCGCUCACGACCAGACCUGGUCCCGGCGAAUCACCCGGCGUUCUCGCCGGUGCACUUCGGCGGGCUUCCAGGCCAGCAUCAGUCCGCGCCGGGGGACAAAGGCGGCGGGAACGUGGCUCCCCAGGGAGUGUUAUAGCCCGCCGCGCAAUGCCCCGGGGGCGGACUGAGGACCGCGCGUCUACCGCAAGGAUGCUGGCGUAAUGGUCGUCAGCGACCCGUCUUGAAACACGGACCAAGGAGUCGUCCUCGUAUGCGAGUGUUGGGGCGUCAAACCCCCCGCGCGUAAUGAAAGUGAACGGCAGGUGAGAGCCCUCGCGGGCGCAUCAUCGACCGAUCCUGAUGUUCUCGGAUGGAUUUGAGUAGGAGCAUACGGGGCCGGACCCGAAAGAAGGUGAACUAUGCCUGUGUAGGGUGAAGCCAGAGGAAACUCUGGUGGAGGCUCGCAGCGGUUCUGACGUGCAAAUCGAUCGUCAAACAUGGGCAUGGGGGCGAAAGACUAAUCGAACCUUC
rnacentral:rRNA from 1 species